rnacentral:rRNA from 1 species
GACGAACGCUGGCGGCGUGCUUAACACAUGCAAGUCGAACGGGUCUGCCCUGUUUUUUGCGGGGUGGGUCAGUGGCGAACGGGUGAGUAACACGUGAGUAACCUGCCCCUCACUUCUGGAUAACCGCUUGAAAGGGUGGCUAAUACGGGGUGUUCUGGCUGUGCCGCAUGGUGUGGCUGGGAAAGAUUCACUUUUGUGGUGUUUUGGUGGGGGAUGGGCUCGCGGCCUAUCAGCUUGUUGGUGGGGUGAUGGCCUGCCAAGGCUUUGACGGGUAGCCGGCCUGAGAGGGUGGGCGGUCACACUGGGAAUGAGAUACGGCCCAGACUCAUGCGGGAGGCAGCAGUGGGGGGUAUUGCACAAUGGGCGGAAGCCUGAUGCAGCGACGUCGCGUGAGGGAUGGAGGCCUUCGGGUUGUGAACCUCUUUCGCCGGUGAAGAAGGUCCUGCUCUUUGUGGUGGGGUUGACGGUAGCCGGGUUAUGAAGCGCCGGCUAACUACGUG